GAGGGCACGCACCAGGAGUGCCCUCCCACACCCUCACCUUUUGACGGGUAAAGUGUAGCUUCAUAGUCUGUCCUGUACCAACAGCUUUAAAGCUUACUCCGAUUCAAUAUAUGUGUCUUCUAUUGUCUUUUCCUACUGCAAUCUACUUUCCAUAAAAGCGGACAGUGUUAGUCGAUUAGGUUCAUAAUAGGAAUAAAUGCACAAUACAUUGAAAAUGGAGAUUUGCUAAUACACACUCUGUCAAUAAAAGAAAUAUUUGGGAAAAAAGCACACCGGCUUGAACUUGUCGAAUAUAAUAAUAGAAGUUUUAAAAUCAUAUGAAAUAAAUAUAGACAGAAGUUACUCCAUAACUGUCGACAAUGCGGCGAAUAUGAUAUGUGUCUAAAACUUUCUUAAUAAAAAUGUUCAAAACUUCCAUCAAAGUCACGGCUGGUAUACUGAAGAAGAAGGAAAUUAAGUCACGCAUCAAGAUUUUGACAUGGAUGACGGAGAUGACGACGAUGGAAACAGUGGACAAAUUUCCGGCGCAACCAUUCCAAAUUCCACGUUUGAAGAAUUUGAGGCAACUUUUUAUAUCAUAACUCCAUAAGUGUCAUUAGGUGUGCUGCACAUACCCUAAAUUGAGCAGUGUCAGAUUUCCUAAAGGAAAUAGAUGAAAUCCGCAGCAAAGUGAAAUCCGUAGUAAAAAAGCUUAGACAUACAUACCUUGUUGAA